UGUCACGGUGCAGAUGUGAGUCCAGGGUGGGGUGUAACCACUGGGAUUUCAAGGAACUUGUGACCCAAGACAAGGCCAAGCCAAAGCAAAAGGAACAACAAUAACAACAAAAAUCACACGAGAAGAGGCCUCACCAGCCUCAGUGAACCAGGCCUGCUCUCAAGCCUCACCAGCCACAGUGAGCCAGGCCCUGCUCUCAGGUCUCACCAGCCUCAGUGAACCAGGCCCUGCUCUCAGGCCUCACCAGCCUCAGUGAACCAGGCCCUGCUCUCAGGCCUCACCAGCCUCAGUGAACCAGGCCCUAUCCUCAGGCCUCACCAGCCUCAGUGAACCAGACCCUCCUCUCAGGCCUCACCAGCCUCAGUGAACCAGACCCUGCUCUCAGGCCUCAUCAGCCACAGUGAACCAGGCCCUGCUCUCAGGCCUCACCAGCCACAGUGAACCAGGCCCUGCUCUCAGGCCUCACCAGCCACAGUGAACCAGGCCCUGCUUCCCCCUUGGACUUGGGGCUUCCAAGGAUGUCUAAAGGCUACAGUUUCAGCCUGCGAAUCUUGGCAAGUGUCAGGAUGCUUUUGCUAACAAGCAUCAGAAACUUGACUCAGACCAUGGUACCCAUUCCCUUCAAAUCUCUUGUCUGUCCAUCUCUGUAGAUCCAGUUUAUUUUCACCUGGGUCUUCCGAGGUUCCAAGCCUUCUACUCUCCAGAAUGCAUCUGUGUUCCUAGUCCCCGGAUACCAGAUCCUUUCGGACCCACUCAAUGUGACGUUGCAUGAAAAUUUCACUUACGACACGACUUCAGUUUAGCUGUGUCAGCCAUCAGGACAAGUGGUCUAGAGUUUACUGAGUCUGGGUCAGGGUCAGACACAUGACGACUGCCAAAUAGUUGAGGAAGAGUGAGAAGAUAUUUGUGAACAGCUCCAAGUUUAUGGAGGGCUGUUAUGCAGAGAUAGGGGUCAGGUAGGAGAGCAGGGGGCCCAAAGGAAGGAGCCAGGCAUCCUAAGUUGGUCCUCAGACAAUAACCUGUAAUAGAUGAGUCCUUUUACCGCCUAUGUCCUCGGAGGUUGGUGAUUGUGUCUUUUUUUUUUGUCUGCUGUAGUAGGAGUUGACCCUACCUUGGCUGGGUUUUGGAAUGGCUCCUGGAAUGAGGCCUUGUGCGCCUGUGAUUUAUUAAGGGAGUGUUCUCAGGGGGAAAUGAAGGAAGCGUUCAGAGCAGGGAGGAGACCAAGCUAAGAGGAAGUUGAGGCAAAGUCCCCGGAGGGUAAAUCCAGCUAGUCUCAGGAGGUGGGGGAGACACCUCUACAAGGGAGCUACAAGGUCAAACCCUUGCGGAAGCUGUUGGUGUAAGAUAUCAGGCCACGAAGGAGAAGGUGAAGUCACUGUCUUAGUUCCCUUCUCUUUACUGUGACCAAAUAUCUCCCCGGAAGCAGCACUAGGCAGGAGGGGUUUAUUUUGGUUUACAGUUGGGUGUUUUUAGUUAUAGUUUUUUAAAAAUUUAUUUUUAUCCAGGUGUGUGUGUGUGUGUGUGUGUGUGUGUGUGUGUGUGUGUGUGUGUGGUGUGUGUUCAGGUGUAGAGUCGAGAAUGUUGUUGGAUCCCUUAGAUCUGGAGUUACAGGUGGCUGUAAGUUGCUUGAACUGGGUGCUGGGUACUGAACUGCAAGACCAACGAUCACUCUUAACCACUGAGCCUGAGCCAUCUCCGAUCCAGCCCCCAGGUGCUACUUAAUUCAAUCAAAUUGUGAAUCAAAUUAACCAACAUACUGUCCCAUCACACAAGGUGACUCCAACAGUGUUGGGAAGAGCCCCAGCCACUCGCUGCAGGAAGCAGAGAGCUUCAGAUCUGGGAGGAGGCAGGAACAGUGACAAAGAAGGGUCCAGGGAAAAGGAUGGGGUGGUGACACAGUCUGCCCUGGGCCAGUUCUGCCAUCAGCCCUCCCCCAGGACGCAAGGCCUCAGCAUCUGACCCUGUUCCUGCUUCACUCCACGCCAUCCUCUGCUUGGCCAGGGUUAGACGGACUGCUCAGUGUCUUCUGCUUGGACUGCUCAGAGUCUUCUGCUUGGACUGCUCAGAGUCUUCUGCUUCCGAUUGGCUGUCAACAUCUAAGUCUCAGAUGCUCUUCACGUAAAAACCCAGUUCUCUGACUCCUCUGGGGGAAAAGUGACAACUAGGUUUGUAAUCUGUUGUAGAUGUCAUACAGUCUGGCCAAGCCCAGGAACUUCACCUCGGGGUACAUUGCCAUAGACUCCCAUCAUCCUCUCAUGUCCCAAGCAUGUGGGAGAGCAAAGAAGAAAGGGAAAUGUUUUGUGCCCUUGUCUCUAAGGCGAAGGAGGUUAAUUCAUAUUCCAAGUAUGCCUGAGUCUAAUUCAUACCGUUCAGGGCGCCAUUAGCGAGUGUCUUGUGUGCCUGUAGGACCCUGCGUAUGUGAGCGGUGAGCCCUACCAGAACUCAGCCUUUCCACCCAGAUCCAGAUGUUGGGCCUCCCUCCUCCAUCCCAUUUUGUUAAAAGCAGCUGUUUUCCCCCCUUCCAGCUCCCCAAGUGCUGAUUUCAUCUCCCCCCCUCCCCCGACAAAAGUUUAGAGCCAGGAAAGAACUGGUUUGGCAGAAAGCCAACAUGCUGUGGGAGGAAGAGGACAACGUGGAGAAAGUGGGGGCCAAGUAGCGUCUGAGCAAGAAGCCUUGGACCCAGGCUCUGAGGACUCCAAGAAGCUUGGCCAUCCAGUGGAUCCUGUUGUGGGAGUAGCCUCUUCCCUUAAAGGUGGAGCCCAGAAAGUUCUUUUGCUCCACAGUUUGUUCCUGGUGUAGCCGGAAAGGGGUAGAGAUGAGCCAAGGCGCAAGCAGAGAGACGAUGGAUUCCCUCCAAGCUGGAACGUCGAUCCCAGUCCUCCACACUUCCCAUCUCUGCUCUGGCCGCAGAAUUUUGAGUCUGUAUGUUUGUUAUGCUGGGCUGAAAGGAGACAAAGGAAUCAUGAAGUGGUUAAAGGGUAACCAAGGCCCAGGCAAUGGCCGACAGACAUACCAGGUCUAGAAGGAGUGGGCAGCUCAGAAGGCACGGGGUGGGGUGGAGGUGAGGCUGCCCCCAGCUCUUGGAGCCUCCUGUUGUCCCCUGCCCCCAUUCACAGCAGCUCCUUAGUAUCCAUCCCCCACUCCCAUCUCCAGUACAGCUGAGCCAACGUCUUUGAGGUCUGGAAAAAUUCCUUUCUCCUUAACUUUGAAAAAAAAAAAAAAGUUGAAAAUUUCCAAAAGGAACACGUGAGUAAGGCGCGAAGGGAAACCCAGAAGUGGAGACUUGGGGAGCUUGCAGGGUGCUCACGGCUGUGCCAACUUGAUCUAAUGCCUUGGGGAAGACCCACUGGUGGGCAUGCGCGCAAGAGGGGAUCUGCUCCUUGCAAUUCUCCAAGGAAGCGCGGGGUGGGGCCGGAGGAGACUGAACAGGGAUGGAUGGACCUACUUUUAUCCUGGUGGGGACUUCAGGGUCUUUCCUAAGCUUGGAACCUUUUGGGAGUAAGGGGCUCUCCACUCAGCCCCAGGGUUCCCUGAAUCAUGCGGUGCUGCCUCCUUUCCCAAGAAAGGCACCUAAUUUAUUUUUUUUCUUCUCUCAGAAAUCUCUGGCUCCUGGCUUGGAUGGCUCCUGGUUGUGUGUGUGUGUGUGUGUGUGUGUGUGUGUGUGUGUGUGUGUGUGUGUGUGUGUCCCACCUGGUCAGGUUUCCAGAGGCCACACCGAGCUCAGACUAACUCUGCUCUGGAGCAGCCAUGGUGGUUCUUGCUCUAAGGCUAUGACACUUUUAGGAUUCUCAUGGUUCUGACUUUAGGGAUUGAAUUUAUUCAGAGACAACCUCACCCCAUUUAAUGUUAUGAAGAAGUUAUACAUCGGGCUGCCGGGAUAAGAUGGCCCAGUUGGUAAAGGCAGUUGUCCGAGAGCCUGAUGAGCAGAAGACGGACCUCUUCUGACCUCCACACGUGCACGGUGGUGUGGGCAUGCACACAUAGACAUACACGCUAAAUAAGUAAAUGUAAAAGAAAGCAGCCGCCACCCUCUUCACAUUUGCAUGUUAAUGUAAUCAAAGACAAAAUGCGUGUGGCUUCCCUCUCCAUCUUCUCCCUUCUCUCCAGGGGCAACCACCAUCUUCCAGGACUGUAUUAUGCAAGCAUAUACAUGCUUAAUAAAAGAAUUCAUUUCUACCCACCUAUAAUUAUCAAUUGCUAUCUGUGGGACAUUGUUCCAGGAGCCAUCCUGCAAAAUCCUCAUAUUCUCAAAUCUUUUGUUUAAAAAAGAAAAAAAGCACAACAUUAGCAUAUAACCUGUGCAUAUCUCACCUCUGGAUUAUUUAUAAUGUUGAAUAUAAUGUCAAUGCUAUGCAAAUCGUUGUUAAACUGUAUUGUUUAGGGCAUCAUGGCCAAAUGUUCAGUCGAGACAUGAUUUCUUUCUUUUUUCGAUCCACAGUUGUUUGGAUCCAUGGAUGCAGACAACAACCUCUGUAUCUCAUUUUCCUAAUGUUUUUACAAUUGCAGUUUUAAAGUCUGAUUUAUCUGGAAUUCAUCUUUGUGAGAGGAGAAAGGUAGGGAUCCAUCCUGAACUUUUUCCUGGACGAAAAAGUUCUCCCAUGGUGGGAGAGAACUGGGAUCUUUUGAAUAAGAAACUGGUGUUCCCAGAAGGCUGUGCUGACACGUAUUAAUGGGGAGGCUCGAGAAAGGGGAGCUGCUGAACACAGCCUUGGCUCUGUCUUCUUGAAGAGUUCAGUUCAGGUUACAAACUCGAAUAUUGUCUGAAGGAAGCAAAGGCCAGCAGCUGAGAUGGUCUCUUUUUUGUAGUUACCUUGGUGAUUGAUUCCUCCCUAACCACUCCACCCUCUCUCCCUCAGCUCUUCCCUCCCUUGGCACAGAGCACUCUGGGAAGUGUGGUUUUCUCUAGCAGGUCCCCUCUGACUAGAGCUCUGUGGGUUCCUACUUGUUGGGUACCCCCUAGAUCUUACCGCAGUAUCUAAAAGGCUGCCUCUCCUUUAACCACCACACGAACCUUUCAGUGGAUGCUCAGAUUUCAGGCAUGGAGAAAACAAGGUUUAAUUUAAGAAAACCAAGGUUAAGAGCCUUGCUCAAGGUCCCACUUUGAUCAAAUGCAGGAACAGCAAUAGGCUAGGCUCUGCUUCUCGAGUGUGAACUAUUUCCUACCCAGGAAACUGUCAUUGGAAACUAGCAACCCCCAGGACUUAGAGGUACUCUACUUCCAGUGAGAGAGAGGUCCAGGUGUUCCCAGUGGACUCAAGGUCAAAGGCACCGUCUUUAGCAUCUCCGUUCUCUGCCUGGCAUUGCCUUCCCCAGGGGGGCCACUGCUACAUGCUAUGCUAUGAGCUUAGUCAACAGAAUUCCAUCUCCCUGCCUGGCUUUCUGGGUCCCAUGGGUACUCUGCAGAGGCACAUGGCUACUGUUGAUGCUAGACACCAAGGGGUUGUAUCAAUAAUAAAGAGUACAGAGUGGCC